rnacentral:lncRNA from 12 species
GAAUUCUCUCCACAUACACAUGAUUCCAUUUUUAGGAGUGGAAUUAGUGGGCCAGAGACUAUGUCAGUCAUAAUGCUGCAUAAUAAGUUGCCCUCAAAAUUUAGAAGUGUAAAACAAAAAUAAUGUCUUAUUGUUGGGUCAGGGAUUCAGGAAUAGCUAGAUAGGGUCUUUCCUGAGGUUGCAGUCAGAUGUUGGCAGGGCUGUAGUCAUUUGAAGGCUUGACCAAAGAUGGAGGAUCCACUCCACGUGGCUCUACAUGUGGCUGGCAAGUUGGUGCAGUUGUGGGUGGGAAAACAUCGUUCUUCUCCACAUGGGCCUCCCCACAGGGCUGCUUGAGUGUCCUCACACAUGAUGGCUGAUUUCCCUAAACAAAACGUUCCAGAAAGCAAGACCGAAGCUGCAUUGCCUUUCAUGACCUAACAAAGUAAAUCACAGCUCUUACGUCUGCCAUUUUCUAUUGGUCACUGUGGUAAGCAGAAUAAUGAUCUCUCAAAGACGUCCUAAAACAGUGGAGCUUGUGACUAUGUUUUUGUUUUUUUGUUUUGUUUUGUUUUUUAAUGGCAAAGGGGAAUUUACAGGUGUUGUUAAGGUAGGAUUUUGAGAUGGGCAGGUUAGCCUGGAUUAUCCAGGUGGAUCCCGUAUCAUCAUCACAAGGGUUGUUUUAGGUAAAAUAGGGAGGAAGGAGAGUUAGAGAAGGAAACACAACAGACAGGUGUGUCAGAGUGGUGCGAUGGCUGGCUGGAAGGAGCCCACGAGCCAAGGAACCUGGAAAAAGGCAAGGAAACAGAUUCUCCCUCAGCGACUCUGGAGAAAACAUACGCCAUCGACCCCUCCAUAAUGAGUCCACUGUGACCCAUUUUGAACUUCUGUCCUCCAGAACCUGAAGACACUAAAUCUAUGUUGGUUUAAGUAGCUACGUUGGUUGCAAUCGGUUACAGCAGCAACAGGAAGCUGCUGCAGUCACGAGGCUGUGAUUCACUGGGUGGGGGAACCUACAGGAAGGAGCGAAGUCCCGGAGCCAUCUUGGAUGCCACAGAGGAUGUGUCUGCUUUUAAGGUGAACAUUUUCAUACUGUUCCAAAAAGAGGAACUUGAAAUACAGACACGUGUGUUUAAGAGAAAACAAGUGAUCUUCAUAGCAGCUGAGGUGAGCAUAUUCUUUGCAGAAGGCAACGUCUCUGCUGGGGAAAAUUUUUUAAAAGCUUAUCUCUGGCUCCCUGUUGAUCCUGCCUAAUAUCUGAAUGUGCUUUCAUAAUGUCGAUAUUAUAUUAUAGUCUUGGGCCGCAGUGAGUGAGGAAAGACUUAUUUUUUUCCUACAGAGUAUCUGCUGCCCAACAGAGAAAUGCCGAGCAGGGGUCUUCCUCAUUUUAGAAGUUAUUUUUUUUUUUCCUAGGAGAUAGGAAAUGCUUUAAAAUGAACUAAACCAAGAAAGGAGGUAUGCUAGUAAGCUGAUGCUAUUUCCAGCAAGGAAGUCUAGAUCCCUCCGAAUGCUCUCUCAAGUUUUCCCCCACAAAACUCACACCGUUUCUCAAAGGGGAUUUAGAGGCCACUUCGUUCCUUUCCUCACAUGAAGGAAAAAUCUGAAGGCUAGAGGCUUGAUGAGCUGUAAAAACUCAGCAUAUUCGAUUACUAGGCCGAGGACUCGACUGAGGAGAAUGUAUUUUAUUUAUUAUGCAAGUGGUUUUCCCUUUACUCUCUCUCUUCUCCCUCUUCCCUUAU